rnacentral:rRNA from 1 species
GAUGAACGCUGGCGGCGUGCCUAAUACAUGCAAGUCGAGCGAACGGACGAGAAGCUUGCUUCUCUGAUGUUAGCGGCGGACGGGUGAGUAACACGUGGAUAACCUACCUAUAAGACUGGGAUAACUUCGGGAAACCGGAGCUAAUACCGGAUAAUAUUUUGAACCGCAUGGUUCAAAAGUGAAAGACGGUCUUGCUGUCACUUAUAGAUGGAUCCGCGCUGCAUUAGCUAGUUGGUAAGGUAACGGCUUACCAAGGCAACGAUGCAUAGCCGACCUGAGAGGGUGACCGGCACCCCGUGACCGUGACCCCGGCCCGACCCCCAACGGGGGGCGGCGGGGGGAAAUUUUCCGAAAGGGGGAAAACCCCAACGGACAACCCCCCGGGGGGUAAUAAGGGCUUUCGGGUCUAAAAACUUUGUUUUUGGGAAAAAACAUAUUGGAAGGUACCGGGCCACAUCUUAACGGUCCCUAAUCAAAAGCCCCCGGCUAACUUCGU